AGUGAACGCUGGCGGUAGGCCUAACACAUGCAAGUCGAACGGCAGCACAGUAAGAGCUUGCUCUUACGGGUGGCGAGUGGCGGACGGGUGAGGAAUACAUCGGAAUCUACUUUUUCGUGGGGGAUAACGUAGGGAAACUUACGCUAAUACCGCAUACGACCUACGGGUGAAAGCAGGGGAUCUUCGGACCUUGCGCGAUUGAAUGAGCCGAUGUCGGAUUAGCUAGUUGGCGGGGUAAAGGCCCACCAAGGCGACGAUCCGUAGCUGGUCUGAGAGGAUGAUCAGCCACACUGGAACUGAGACACGGUCCAGACUACUAAGGGAGGCAGCAGUGGGGAAUAUUGGACAAUGGGCGCAAGCCUGAUCCAGCCAUACCGCGUGGGUGAAGAAGGCCUUCGGGUUGUAAAGACCUUUUGUUGGGAAAGAAAAGCAGCAGGUUAAUACCCCGCUGUUCUGACGGUACCCAAAGAAUAAGCACCGGCUAACUUCGUG
rnacentral:rRNA from 1 species